AAAAAGAAAUAGGGGGCAGACCUGAAAGAGUUCCCCAAGCCCUCUGUACAGAGCUAGACUUUCUAGUACGUUCUAGAAGCCUGGCGCUCAAACAAUGCCCUGGGAGCUUCAUGUUACACCUGAGAGCUGACAUGGAGCCCCUGACUGUGGCAGGGCUUGCAGGGCUUCUUGCAGGGACAUCACAGGAUCCCUGGGGACUCCAGGGUGCAGCUCAGCUUGAGAACCAGUAGGAAUCAAAACUCGGACUGGAGUCACACCCCGACUGAGAGGCCAGAAGGGGUCAGGGCAGAGGAAACGUGCUCCGGCCAAAAACCACCCGACAGUCCGACAAGCGGGUACAGAGACCGCACAUGGCUUUUCCGUUGCUCUGUGUUGUGCUGUUUCCAACUCAUCUGGCUGGCACAGGAAUGUUCGGGACCAAAGCCUCCUUCCCUGCUACAUACGUGUAAAGCCUUACCCCGUCUUUCCUGGUUUCACUCCCCAUAAAUUGGUUUUCGGGGCCUCUGAGCCUGUAA